rnacentral:rRNA from 1 species
GAGGGAUCAUUACAGAGUUCAUGCCCUCCGGGUAGAUCUCCCACCCAUUGCUAUAACUACUCUCGUUGCUUUGGCGGGCCGCUGGGCCCUGCCCGGCCGCCGGCCCCGGCUGGCGCGUGCCCGCCAGAGACCUCACAGACUCUGAAUAUUAGUGUCGUCCGAGUAACUAUAUAAUCGUUAAAACUUUCAACAACGGAUCUCUUGGUUCUGGCAUCGAUGAAGAACGCAGCGAAAUGCGAUAAGUAAUGCGAAUUGCAGAAUUCAGUGAGUCAUCGAAUCUUUGAACGCACAUUGCGCCCUGUGGUAUUCCGCAGGGCAUGCCUGUUCGAGCGUCAUUUCAACCCUCAAGCCUCGCUUGGUGUUGGGCCCUGCCCGCCGCGGCCGGCCCUAAAGACAGUGGCGGCGCCGCCUGGCCCUCAGCGUAGUACAUCUCUCGCUCCAGGGUCCGGCGGCAGCCUGCCAGAACCCCCCAACUCUGUGGUUGACCUCGGAUCAGGUAGGGAUACCCGCUGAACUUAA